GAUGAACGCUGGCGGCGUGCCUAAUACAUGCAAGUAGAACGCUGAAGGAGGAGCUUGCUUCUCCGGAUGAGUUGCGAACGGGUGAGUAACGCGUAGGUAACCUGCCUGGUAGCGGGGGAUAACUAUUGGAAACGAUAGCUAAUACCGCAUAAGAGUAGAUGUUGCAUGACAUUUGCUUAAAAGGUGCAAUUGCAUCACUACCAGAUGGACCUGCGUUGUAUUAGCUAGUUGGUGGGGUAACGGCUCACCAAGGCGACGAUACAUAGCCGACCUGAGAGGGUGAUCGGCCACACUGGGACUGAGACACGGCCCAGACUCCUACGGGAGGCAGCAGUAGGGAAUCUUCGGCAAUGGACGGAAGUCUGACCGAGCAACGCCGCGUGAGUGAAGAAGGUUUUCGGAUCGUAAAGCUCUGUUGUAAGAGAAGAACGAGUGUGAGAGUGGAAAGUUCACACUGUGACGGUAUCUUACCAGAAAGGGACGGCUAACUACGUGCCAGCAGCCGCGGUAAUACGUAGGUCCCGAGCGUUGUCCGGAUUUAUUGGGCGUAAAGCGAGCGCAGGCGGUUAGAUAAGUCUGAAGUUAAAGGCUGUGGCUUAACCAUAGUACGCUUUGGAAACUGUUUAACUUGAGUGCAAGAGGGGAGAGUGGAAUUCCAUGUGUAGCGGUGAAAUGCGUAGAUAUAUGGAGGAACACCGGUGGCGAAAGCGGCUCUCUGGCUUGUAACUGACGCUGAGGCUCGAAAGCGUGGGGAGCAAACAGG
rnacentral:rRNA from 1 species